UACGUAGGUGGCAAGCGUUGUCCGGAUUUACUGGGCGUAAAGGGCGUGCAGGCGGUUUGUUAAGUUCAGGGUGAAAGCUCCCGGCUCAACUGGGAGAGGUCCUUGGAUACUGGCAGACUUGAGGAGGGUAGAGGAGAGUGGAAUUCCCGGUGUAGUGGUGAUAUGCGUAGAUAUCGGGAGGAACACCAGUGGCGAAGGCGGCUCUCUGGGCCUUACCUGACGCUGAGGAGCGAAAGCGUGGGGAGCGAACAGG
rnacentral:rRNA from 1 species